rnacentral:rRNA from 1 species
UGGUCAAGUUAUUAAGGGUGCAGGGCGGAUGCCUUGGCACUAGGAGCCGAUGAAGGACGUGAUAAGCUGCGAUAAGCUUCGGGGAGUUGCACGUAAACUUUGAUCCGAAGAUUUCCGAAUGAGGAAACUCACUUAGAGUAAUGUCUAAGUAUCAUUAAGUGAAUACAUAGCUUAAUGAGGGGAACUCAGGGAACUGAAACAUCUAAGUACCUGAAGGAAGAGAAAGAAAUUCGAUUCCGUAAGUAGCGGCGAGCGAACGCGGAUUAGCCCAAACCAAUAAAGUUUUCUUUAUUGGGGUUGCGGACAUAUCAUAACGAAGAGGUAUCGUAAUUGAAGAGGUUUGGAAAGACCCACCACAGAAGGUAAUAGUCCUGUAUGUUAAACGAGAAGACUUUAGAUAUGAUCCAGAGUACCACGGGACACGUGAAACCCUGUGGGAAGCAGGAGGGACCACCCUCCAAGGCUAAAUACUACCUAGUGACCGAUAGCGUAUAGUACCGUGAGGGAAAGGUGAAAAGAACCCCGGGAGGGG